GACGAACGCUGGCGGCGUGCUUAACACAUGCAAGUCGAACGGAAAGGCCCUGCUUUUGUGGGGUGCUCGAGUGGCGAACGGGUGAGUAACACGUGAGUAACCUGCCCUUGACUUUGGGAUAACUUCAGGAAACUGGGGCUAAUACCGGAUAGGAGCUCCUGCUGCAUGGUGGGGGUUGGAAAGUUUCGGCGGUUGGGGAUGGACUCGCGGCUUACCAGCUUGUUGGGGGGGUAGUGGCUUACCAAGGCUUUGACGGGUAGCCGGCCUGGGAGGGUGACCGGCCACAUUGGGACUGAGAUACGGCCCAGACUCCUACGGGAGGCAGCAGUGGGGAAUAUUGCACAAUGGGCGGAAGCCUGAUGCAGCAACGCCGCGUGCGGGAUGACGGCCUUCGGGUUGUAAACCGCUUUCGCCUGUGACGAAGCGUGAGUGACGGUAAUGGGUAAAGAAGCACCGGCUAACUACGUG
rnacentral:rRNA from 1 species